ensembl:lncRNA
CUUCCCAGCCUCCCCAAACUACCGAGUGGGUGUCUAGCAACGUGCAAAGGAGACAACACUCAAGUGUAAAAGAAACCAAAGUUUUCCAAAUGCCAGAAGGGGAAAAAAGCUUUAUAAAUACAAACCAAAUCAAACCAAACCAAACCAAACCCAACCCAAAAAACCCAACCCAACAUCGGUAAAUAACAAACAGGAUUUGCCCUGCUUUACAAUAAUUUCGGUCCCUUCAAUUGAUUCCAACGUCAAAGGCCCAUUAUCCCUCGUCUGAACUCAAACAAGUUCUUUACAGAAAAAGAACCACUUUGUAAACAGCUGCUGGCUGUUCAAAACAGGAGGGACCAGAGUGCUCAAGAUGGGGAUGGCCUGGCAAUCACAUCAGUCAGUGCAAAAUCUGCAUUUUAUUAAAGACAUUUGGGAAGAUCCAUUCAAAAAUACAUUGUGCUCAGUAAAAAUUAACCAUUUCAUGCUGAUAAUUAAGGUUACCACAGAAUAGAUAUUUGUAUAAUAUUUACAGCAACGAUAGAAAUUUUACAGAAGUUUAGAAUGGAAUACAUGCCAGAAAAAACUUGAGAAGAUGUACCAACACAUGAUACAAAGAGUUAUAUAAACACUUUACAAAUGGUUCAUAAUUAGCUUGUGAGGAAUUUAAAUAUUCGACACUUUAAAUUCAGCUUGGAUUCAAAAAUUAAAAAGGUUAACACCACAUCACACCCUUGCCACAGUACAAAGUAUGGAAUUACACUUGAUAGUAGGGAUUAUAAAGUCUGUGCAAUUAAGAAUUUCCACUGAUUCUUCAUGUACCACAAAUUUAGUAGCCUAUAGGGAAUACACAGAAAGGUGGGUCAGUGCCAGGAGGCGAAAGGUGGAGUCAGGACCAGGCCUAAUACUGCUGUAUGAACAAAGCACUAUGGGAAAUGAAUAUUCACAUAGUAACUGACUUGGCACAAAAGUCUAUGAUCUGUUAUAGUACAUUCGAUUAAAAAAGAAGAAAGAGAAUAGGCUAGGGCAGCAGGCCCCCAGCUUCCUAGCCACUUUACUUCUACCACGUUGUGUGUAUACAGAAAGACAGGGCGCUCAUCCUGCCACAACUUCACCUUCUUGCAUUUACUCACGGUUUCUAAGACAGAAUUUUUUACCCAGCUGAGUCAGAGCCUCAAGAUGUUCUAUGUCUCAGCUGGUCAAGAUACCAAAGGGAGAAAUCAGAACCACUUACAAGGUUUUAUUUUGUAAGCUGGCCCUUUAAGUCUCUGAGAGAACCUUCUUGUGAGAUUCUGGCCCUGGGGAUUAGCGACAGGACACUUAGGACAUUUAGACUGUCCUUUCGGCGGUCUCUUUUAGAGAAACCAUCUUUUCAAAACUGCAAAUAAGUUUUCUCUGCCUACACACUUUACGAGUGAUGAACUGAAGGAGGCAAGGAAAUGUUUCGGUAUUUUCUGACUUGGUUCGGUGUGUCAUUCCACAUUCCCAAUUCACCCAAGUACGAGUCCACGGAUCUUCAGGCUCGCGAGGAGCUCGCUAUCCCACUGUAAUGCAGGAGGCAACAAACUGCUCGGUAUAAAAGCAGUGCUCUCCAGAAACAAUGUUCUGACCAGGAGAGAAUACGCAGAUUUCCGAGUCCCAGCUGAGCUCUAGGAAUAAGUCGCAACGAGCCAUUGCUCUUGCUAAAAGUUGAGUCACCACCAGGACCUAGGUGAAGAGAAAUGGACAGAGCCUUCUCCACACUUGAAAAGUAAUCCUCUGGCCUUGGAAAAAAAAAAAAGUUGUACACUUAUGAGUCAUUCUCAAUAUAUAGCUAGAAGAAAAUAAAUGGCUUUUUUUCCCUUAUUUACUCUAAAAA